rnacentral:rRNA from 1 species
CAGAGCCGCGGUAAUACGGAGGGUGCAAGCGUUAAUCGGAAUUACUGGGCGUAAAGCGCACGCAGGCGGUCUGACAAGUCAGAUGUGAAAUCCCCGGGCUUAACCUGGGAACUGCAUUUGAAACUGUCAGGCUGGAGUCUUGUAGAGGGGGGUAGAAUUCCAGGUGUAGCGGUGAAAUGCGUAGAGAUCUGGAGGAAUACCGGUGGCGAAGGCGGCCCCCUGGACAAAGACUGACGCUCAGGUGCGAAAGCGUGGGGAGCAAACAGGAUUAGAUACCCCUGUAGUCCCUGUCUCUUAUACA